UUAUUGGAGAGUUUGAUCCUGGCUCAGGACGAACGCUGGCGGCGUGCCUAAUACAUGCAAGUCGAGCGGACCUUGUGUUUCCUUCGGGAGACGCCAGGUUAGCGGCGGAUCGCGAGUAACACGGUGUGCGCAACCCGCCUGUAAGACCGGGAUAACUUGCGGAAACGUGAGCGUCAGUUAUCGAUAGCUGGUUUCUUCGCAUGAAGAAGUCAUGAAAGACGGGGCAACCUGUCACUUACAGAUGGCCUGCGGCGCAUUAGCUAGUUGGUAGGGUAACGGCUUACCAAGGCGACGAUGCGUAGCCGACCUGAGAGGGUGAACGGCCACACUGGGACUGAGACACGGCCCAGACUCACGGGAGGCAGCAGUAGGGAAUCUUCCGCAAUGGACGAAAAGUCUGACGGAGCACAACGCCGCGUGAGUGAUGAAGGUUUUCGAUCGUAAAGCUCUGUUGCUUAAGGAAGAACGGCCAGGGGAGUAACUGCCCCGAAGUGACGGUAAUUUGAGAAGAAGCCCCGGCUAACUACGUGCCACAGCAGCCGCGGUAAUACGUAGGGGCAAGCGUUGUCCGGAAUUAUUGGGCGUAAAGCGCGCGCAGGCGGUCUUUUUAAGUCUGGUGUUUAGCCUGGGCUCAACCCCGGUUCAGACUGAAACUGGGAGACUUGAGUGUAGGAGAGGAAAGUGGAAUUCCACGUAGCGGUGAAAUGCGUAGAGAUGUGGAGGAACACCAGUGGCGAAGGCGGCUUUCUGGCCUAUAACUGACGCUGAGGCGCGAAAGCGUGGGGAGCAAACAGGAUUAGAUACCCUGGUAGUCUCAAUGCCGUAAACGAUGAAUGCUAGGUGUUAGGGGUUUCGAUACCCUUGGUGCCGAAGUUAACACAGUAAGCAUUCCGCCUGGGGAGUACGGUCGCAAGACUGAAACCUGAAGGAAUCGACGGGGACCCGCACAAGCAGUGGAGUAUGUAGUUUAAUUCGAAGCAACGCGAAGAACCUUACCAGGCCUUGACAUCCUCUGACCGGUUUAGAGACAGACCUUUUCCUUCGGGGACAGAGACAGGUGGCGCAUGGUUGUCGUCAGCUCGUGUCGUGAGAUGUUGGGUUAAGUCCCGCAACGAGGCGGCAACCCUUGAUCUUAGUUGCCAGCACGCAGGUGGGCACUCUAAGAUGACUGCCGGUGACAAACCGGAGGAAGGUGGGGAUGACGUCAAAUCAUCAUGCCCCUUAUGGCCUGGGCUACACACGUACUACAAUGGUCGGUGCCAACGGGAAGCGAAGGAGCUGAGCGAUCCGGAGCUAAUCCUCAAAAGCCGAUCUCAGUUCGAUUGCAGGCUGCAACUCGCCUGCAUGAAGUCGGAAUUGCUAGUAAUCGCGGAUCAGCAUGCCGCGGGUGAAUACGUUCCCGGGUCUUGUACACACCGCCCGUCACACCACGAGAGUUUACAACACCCGAAGUCGGUGAGGUAACCGCAAGGGGGCCAGCUGCCGAAGGUGGGGUAGAUGAUUGGGGUGAAGUCGUAACAAGGUAAUGGUAUCGGAAGGUGCGGCUGGAUCACCUCCCUU
rnacentral:rRNA from 1 species